GAUGAAGAACGCAGCGAAAUGCGAUACGUAAUGUGAAUUGCAGAAUUCAGUGAAUCAUCGAAUCUUUGAACGCAUAUUGCGCUCUCUGGUAUUCCGGAGAGCAUGCUUGUUUGAGUAUCAGUAAACACCUCAACUCCCUUUUCUUUUUUGAAAUUGGAGCUGGACUUGAGUGAUCCCAACGCUUUCUUCCAAGAAAGUGGCGGGUUGCUUGAAAUGCAGGUGCAGCUGAACUUUUCUCUGAGCUAUAAGCAUAUCUAUUUAGUCUGCCUAAAAAACAGAUUAUUACCUUUGCUGCAGCUAACAUAAAGGAGACUAGUUCUUGUGCUGACUGAUGCAGGAUUCACAGAGACAGCUUCGGCUGACUUUGUAAACUCGAUCUCAAAUCAAGUAAGACUACCCGCUGAACUUAAGCAUAUCAAUAAGCCGGAGGA
rnacentral:misc_RNA from 1 species